GGUAAUUAAUUGGAAAAUCGAUCGAGUUUCGACUAUAUUAAAAAUUAAAUGCGAUAUUUCGCUUCCUGACGCGGAAUAAUUAAAAAUAAUUCAAAUAAAAUGAAUAUUCUACGUAACGGAACCAAAUCGCUUUUUGACGUCACACAACGUCGCCCCCCGCGUUUUGUAAAGUAUGCUGAUGACUGAAGAACAAAUAUAAUA